rnacentral:rRNA from 1 species
GUAGACGACUGGGUUGAUAGGCCAGAUAUGGAAGCGCCGUAAGGUGUGGAGUUGACUGGUACUAAUAGGCCGAGGGCUUGUCCUCAGUUG